CAAUUGAUAAGUAGAAAGGGGGAGCUGUAUUCACAGUUAUCAGCACUCCACAAAGUUUGUUCGAAAUCGGGUCAUGCCUGGCUCUCCUUCUGAUUAAAUAUGGGAAGGGCUAUUUCUAGAAUUUAGGGCAGGGACUAGAAAGCAGAGAAUUAUUCUUCUUGGAAAGGAUCAAUUCCAUUAGGAGGGUUUCAAUUUAUGCUCCUGUUUUUUUUUUCCAAGCAGUCAGAUCUUCUGUUCAAUGUGGAACUUCGACAGCUGAAACUAAUUGAAUUGUGUCUAUCGUGUUUCAGGGGUCCAUCCCUAGGAUUCGCCUUUCACCAAAUCCUAUCCACCCCUUGACGAACGGAAAGAAGGAGGGAUGGAUGGAGAGGGUCACACUCGAGCAGGGAUAAGUUUCCGUCCCGUUGUUCCAAGUUCCAUUCCCCUUCUCGCUCGCAACUCACAAAGCUCUACAUAGUUUGGAGCGCAGACCACCCGUCAGUCGGUGGGUUCUCCUCUUUGGAAUGGAUGGAUGGACGGAUGGUUGGUUGGCUGGUUGGUUGCUAGAUGGUUGAUGGUUCUGGAUCGGAGUCGAACAUGAUCCGAACGUACUCGAAGCCAACUAAGCGUGAAGAACAAAAAUCACCGCUUUUGCAUCUCCCGACACUCCUCACUCCUCAAUACACAUUACACGACAAUCCAUUCACAAAGAUGAACGGCAAAAGCAUUAUCCUCAACAACAUCUGUAGCAGCAGCAACAACAGCAACAACAACAAUGCCAUCACCCAGGAUGAGAACUGGAUGAGACAGAGUGCAUGCAUGCAAGGAAAGAGCAAAUGGGUUUGAAAAGUCAAAGCAAACUCUUAAAUCCCCCUAGGAUUACCCAGGAAACGACGAGUUUGUUUUGUGCCAUGUGCACUACGAAAAGGACAAACGAGGGCGUCGCCCAAUCAGUGACGUGGCCCAAUGGGGAGACACUUGAUGUUGAACAUGGGUCCCAAUCAGUUCGACGAAUGAAAAGUGGUGCCAAAUGUCAAUAACGUAUGAGGGACAUCUCAUCAAAAUUGACCCCAUCGAAAGUAAAAUAAGUCAAUUGCCAGGAUAGGGGGGUUUCUCUCGAAUGUAUUAGGAACCACCAUGGGCAAAGCUCAUCGCAUUCUGCCUACACACUACCAAAUGGCACCUCGGUAGAGGUCGUAUUGCCGGAAAAAAUGCAUUCGUUCCUUAUUUACUUCCAUUUCGAAUGACAUAACUGACAAAGUAAACCAUCGCGUGUCCGGAGAUGACUCACUUGGAAGGCAACGAAAAUUCGGCAUUGAAAAGAAAGCUGGGGCGUGAUUACAAUACAGUACUAUAACGCGUAUGAGAGGAAAAAAAAGGAAGAAUUGAGUCCUGAUUAACAACGUCCUUCUCGACGGCUGAACACUUAAUCUCUCCAUUACAGUUUUUUCCUCCUCACCACCCAAAAAGAAACUAAAUUGUCCUGGACGAGUCUCCUCAACCAUCCGAAACAAAUCAAAAUUGUCAUUACAAACGGAUAUUCGCGGUUAGGAUCUUGAGAACGAAAAACCCCCAAGACCCCUGGCCUCACACUUGCGUGUUCUGCGUUCUUGCAACGGCCACAUUUGGUGUUUUUUUUUAAACAACAUCAUAGUGUAAUUGGGAAGGGGAACUAGGUUGAUGAACAUUGGCAACAUUUGGGCCAACCACCUCACUCUAAUCCCGCUUGGAAUAAAGAAGCGGGAUCUGCAAAUCCCGAACAAAUGAGAA